AAGACUAUACUUUCAGGGAUCAUUUCUAUAGUUCGUUACUAAAAGUUAAGAUUCCCAGGAACUUUGAAGUUGGUCUGGUGCUCCCGUGCGUGGUAGCAUGUGCUACUCAAUCCAAGCACUGAGGAGG
ensembl:snoRNA U3 Small nucleolar RNA U3